rnacentral:rRNA from 1 species
UGAAUACGAGAUGCUACGGCGUCGAAGCAGUCUAUGUCAUACUUCCAAGAAAAGCUUGCACUGUCAUAAACAAAUAAUGCCUGUACCAUAACCGACACAGGUGGGUAGGUAGAGUAUACUAAGGGGCGCGAGAUAACUCUCUCUAAGGAACUCGGCAAAAUGACUCCGUAACUUCGGGAGAAGGAGUGCCUUAUUUAUAAGGUUGCAAUAACAAGAUCCAAGCAACUGUUUACCAAAAACACAGGUCUCCGCUAAGUCGUAAGACGAUGUAUGGGGGCUGACGCCUGCCCAGUGCCAGAAGGUUAAAGAAGUUGGUUAGCAUCCGCGAAGCUGAUAACUGAAGCCCUGGUGAACGGCGGCCGUAACAAUAACGGUCCUAAGGAAGCGAAAUUCCUUGUCGGGUAAGUUCCGACCCGCACGAAAGGCGUAAUGAUUUGGAUACUGUCUCCGAGAGGGGCUCGGUGAAAUAGACUUGUCUGUGAAGAUGCGGACUACCUGCACCAGGACAGAAAGACCCUAUGAAGCUUUACUGUAACCUGAAAUUGAAAUUGGACUUUACUUGCGCAGUAUAGGUGGGAGGCGUUGAGAAUAUUCUUGCGGGAUUAUUGGAGCCAUCAGUGAGAUACCACUCUUGUAAUGUUAGAUUUCUAACUUUGUAUCAUUAUCUGGUCAAAGAACAGUUUCAGGCGGGCAGUUUGACUGGGGCGGUCGCCUCCUAAACGGUAACGGAGGCGCACAAAGGUUUCCUCUGAACGGGUAGAAAUCGUAUCUAGAGUGUAAAGGCAUAAGGAAGCUUGACUGUGAGACCUACAAGUCGAGCAGGGACGAAAGUCGGUCUUAGUGAUCUGACGGUGCUGAGUGGAAAGGCCGUCACUCAACGGAUAAAAGUUACUCUAAGGAUAACAGGCUGAUCUCCCCCAAGAGUUCACAUCGACGGGGAGGUUUGGCACCUCGAUGUCGGCUCAUCGCAUCCUGGGGCGGUAGUACGUCCCAAGGGUUGGGCUGUUCGCCCAUGAAAGCGGUACGCGAGCUGGGUUCAGAACGUCGUGAGACAGUUCGGUCCAUAUCCGGUGUAGGCGUUAGAAUAUUGAGAGGAGCCUUCUUUAGUACGAGAGGACCGAGAAGGACAUACCUCUGGUGUACCAGUUAUCGUGCUAACGGUAAACGCUGGGUAGCUAUGUGUGGAGUGGAUAACCGCUGAAAGCAUCUAAGUGGGAAGCCCACCUCAAGAUAAGUAUUCUCU